CUUCUUUUUUUUUUUUUUUUUUUUUUUUUGUGAUGGAGUUUCGCUCUGUUGCCGAGGCUGGAGUGCAGUGGCACAAUCUCGGCUCACUGCAUCCUCCACCUGCCGGGUUUAAGUAAUUCUCUGCCUCAGCCUCCUGAGUAGCUGAGGCAGGAGAAUCACUUGAACCCAGGAGGUGGAGGUUGCAGUGAGCCGAAAUCGUGCCAUUGCACUCUAGGCUGGGUGACAGUGAGACUCUGUUUCAAAAAAAAACAAACACACACACACACACACACACACACACACACACACACACACACACACACAAAUACUUCACUGUUAAUACAAAUAAUCUAGUCAAGUAAACCAUACUCCAUUUUGGAUAAAAACAGAGAAGAACUCCUCCAUGUGGUUGUUGAAGGGUCUUUAAAGGAAUCAAAUAUUCUCACAUUUUUCUCUUUAAAAGCACUUUUAACAAAUCUUCAAAUCAAUAAAAUAUACAAUGGCUUAACUGGGCAAGAUCUAAUGCCCGAAGAUCUCGUGAGGCACUCAACUAGGGCUUCCCAGACAGUGAGAAGCACAGAGCCUGGAAGGGCUCACAGGUAAGCUAAGCUACGGUUGGAAGGUGGAGGCAGGAAGUUCAGACAGCUGGCUCCACGAACCUCCACCCCAUUACCUCGUGCACUGUAAACUUUUCUGCUGUUUUUUACCUGUGCCAUGAGGAGAAAAUAGUUCAGAAGCCCUAGAUUAUUCACGCUCUAAAGGAAUGACUUAAUUGUGGCUGCCCAACAAUAGGAAAUUCACAUUUUUAAAUAACUUAGCAUUUUAUUUUAUUUAUUUAAUUGUUUUUGAGAUAGAGUCUUGGCUCUGUUGCCCAGGCUGCGGGGCAGUGGCACAAUCAUGGCUCACUGCAGCCUCGACCUGCUGGGCUCAAUCAAUUUGUCUGCCUCCGAGUAGCCAGGACUACAGGCAUGUACCACCAUGACUGGCUAAAUUUUUUUAGAGACAGGGUUUCGCCAUGUUGCCCAGGCUGGUGUCAAACUUUUGGUCUCAACCAAUUGGCCCACUUCAGCUUCCCAAAGUGCUGGGGUUACAAGCAUUGAGCCACUGCGCC
rnacentral:lncRNA from 1 species